UGUAAGAUUGGCAACAAGAAUAAAUUCCUCGCAAUGGCUAUGCCUCGUUCACAUGUUUUUUAACAGAAUGAAAGAAUAAAAUGUGCCUUUUGUUGGCUAACCAUUUUCCAAAAUGACAACAAAUCGGUGGGUGUACUGUGUGCGAGAAAAGGAAAGUAAAGAAUCUGUGGGUAACAGAAUGUCAAGUAGUGUCUACUUAUGGCAUCUUCUGCUUCAACUCAGUUUCGUUUUCACAGAGUUCCUCUGGAAGAAAGCAGGAAACCAGACAGGAUCGGCAGAAGAGAUUAAAAACGUUUAAGGAUUUGAUAAGGUAAAGUACUUCAUCCCUAAUCCCAAGUUUCCUCUUGGUAUAUUUUUCUAAAGUUUGGAUUACUGUACAGUAUUACUUUGUUCAGUACCUUACAGGAUUGAGACUUAGUCGAAUGAGACGUCAGAACUUGUUAGAUUCAUUAGCUAUUCCUGGAACAUAUGAAAUCAAUAUGCGAAAAAUUCUGAUGAUUUCCAUGAUCCAUAGAUAAAAUGAAUUGGUUGCAGAGGAAGAGUGGUAGCCAAAUGAAGCAAGAUCAAGACUCCAUUUAUACUGGAUUUACAACUGCAGUAGCAGCAGCUGUAUAUGCUAUUCACUCACUUGAACAAGCUGAAACCUUAAAGAACAAGAAUGGGAACAAAAAAGAAGAUGCAACAGCUAAACUGAGAUUCUCAUUCAAGAAAAGAAAAAUGGAGAUGAAACCUCUAUGAAACGGAAACAGAAUCAUGAGGCACUAGAGAGGACUUAUUCAAAUAGAAAACCAAGUCCUUCACCCUCUCAUAAACCCAAAAUCCAUGAAGAUAAUCCUGGAAAAGCUGAUCGCAUACAGAAUGACAAACUGAAAACACUUCUUGCUUGGGCAAAGGCAAAGAAGAUGAAAGUCAAACACAAAAUGGAAAAGAAAAAGAACUAAAUGCAGCAGGGAAAGGGCGAAAGAACUUGCACCAUUAAGCAUAACAAGAUAGAAAAAAUAAGUAGCAAUUCCUGAAGGACAGAUCAUAUAUACACUUAAAAAUCUGAGCUGAGCUGAAAGAGAGUAAUUACAAGGUAUAGAUUUAUUAAAGAAAAUUCUUAAAGUAAUACAAUGUCUUUGUACCAGUCAUAUAGGUGUACUUAUCUAUCCGUUCAAGUUAUUCAGCAUAAAGAUCUCCAGAAUCUUCCCAGAAAAAGGUAAAAGAAUUUAUUUUUUUUCCAUCUACAUCUAAUGUAGAAAAGUGAAUGUUUCCAGGCCAAGAGAAAAACUUAAUGAUUAUUGAUCCAUGCAUUCAAAUCGUAUUUUGUGGCACCCAAAGUAGGGCUUAUCAAUCUUUUUUCUAUCUUUAAAGCUGCCACUUAGUUACAGAAACAUCGAGAAACUUAUUCUUCAUUCUUGUCUGUCCUAGACAAGGGAUUCAUGGAAUAGACAACUCUUGUGUGAAAAUAUAAUUAAGAUGUUUAAAUCUCUCAUAAGGGACAUGCAUUUUCAGUAUUUGACUGGGCAUGAAGGAGAGGUCAGAUACAGGGCCAUGCUCUAGUAAUAAUGCCUCUGCAUUCAACCACAGAAUGGCAAAUGCACCAGCCAGUCCAUAUCUGCAAACCCAUCUUAUUAUCAAAUUGCAAAACCACAACCUCAAGUGAGAGGAUUGCCAUUGCCAUUGCCACCUUGCUAAGGAUAUAUUCAGAGUACUAUUCAUUUUCACAUUAUAGCAUUUAUUAUAUGGGAUUAAACCAACUAAAAUUGAGGAAAAAAAUCUGCAUAGCUAGCCAACCUUAUUCUCAUCAAAACAAGAUUGCAGUCUACUUGAGUUGCAUUGAAUAUUUUCUUUAGUGGAGAAAUAAUAUUGCACACUGGAGAUCUGAAAUAUGAGACUGACUUUGAAGUUUGUAUUUCCAAGUAAGUUGACGAAAUGUCUUUGUUGCACUAUUUUCAUGUAGGCACGACUAUAAUUAUU